GUGCUUGCUUCUACAGCACGUAUACUAAAAUUGAAACGAUACAGAGAUUAGCAUGGCCCUGUGCAAGGAUUACACACAAAUUCAUGAAGCGUUCCACAUUAAU
ensembl:snRNA U6 U6 spliceosomal RNA